GAUGAACGCUGGCGGCGUGCCUAACACAUGCAAGUCGAACGGAGUCGUUUUGGAAAUCUCUUCGGAGAUGGAAUUCUCGACUUAGUGGCGGACGGGUGAGUAACGCGUGAGCAAUCUGCCUUUAAGAGGGGGAUAACAGUCGGAAACGGCUGCUAAUACCGCAUAAAGCAUUAAAUUCGCAUGUUUUUGAUGCCAAAGGAGCAAUCCGCUUUUGGAUGAGCUCGCGUCUGAUUAGCUAGUUGGCGGGUUAACGGCCCACCAAGGCGACGAUCAGUAGCCGGACUGAGAGGUUGAACGGCCACAUUGGGACUGAGACACGGCCCAGACUCCUACGGGAGGCAGCAGUGGGGAAUAUUGCGCAAUGGGGGAAACCCUGACGCAGCAACGCCGCGUGAUUGAAGAAGGCCUUCGGGUUGUAAAGAUCUUUAAUCAGGGACGAAACAAAUGACGGUACCUGAAGAAUAAGCGCCGGCUAACUACGUG
rnacentral:rRNA from 1 species